rnacentral:lncRNA from 1 species
CGAGACAAAAAAAGGUAGUAAGGGAUAUAUGUCUCUGUAUGUCCAAGUCAGUUAUGAGAUAAAUCCGAAAAAUUGAACCUGCACACUCAAAUUUUUAUGAAAUGAAAUAUUUAGAAUUAUGUGGACAAUUAUCCACUAGAUUGAUCCUUUACUUCUGUUUUUCAAUUUUCAACAAUGCCUAUUAUAUAAAAAGAAUUACAGUAUUUCACAAGGUAGGAAUACAAUUACAUCUUUGUUUUAUUUCAAAGCAUCAUUCAAAAUAUUAAAAAGUCCAUAUAUUUGCCAAAUUCAAAUCAUAGAAGACUUUUUUAUAGUUUUCAAAUUUUCUAGGAAAAUUCACCAACUUAGAAAACUGUCCCCUGGAAUAAAAGCUAAAUUUGAUAUUUUUCUUUUUAAAAAUGACACUGAACAUUUACGAAAAUGGCUGUCAAUUCUUUAUUCCAUUUAACAAGUAAAAAUCUCAACUGAAAUCAAAGGCCAUUAAGAUCUACAAACUAGAUUGGAAAUUGUUUCCCUGCAGAGAAGAUGCUCAGCUUUACACUUUCCAUCACGUUUGCAUGGUGAAGACAUUUGGCAGUCAAGUUCUUUGCAGACAGCGUAUUGCAGGUGCUUAAUUGUCUGGGACAAUCACUUGUCUGUGAAAUAAGACCCUUAAUGAUACUACAGCUUUGAUUGGUUUCUACAAGUGGAGAAACGGAACUACCUCCAGACCCAAAGGUAAUUGAAAAGUGUUCAGUUCUCCAGUAGGAAGCAUAAUUUGUUUCUGAUUAAUGUCUCAUAAUUGAAGAUCAUCUCCAAGUAUCUUAGGAGCAGAAAAUCCACAUUCCUAUCACCUGGUUGAUAUUUUAACUUUUACCCAGGCUAUAAGUUUAUUCUGAGUUCCACUAUAGCUAAUGUACCUUUUGGGAAAGACAUGAGAUUACAUAUAGAAUCAAAGAUUUUAAAGUAAGUGAGUAAGCAAGGUAAGUCACUUUUAGAUUACUGCCUUCCUGAUUACCUGGUUUCUGAAGAGACGUCUGCUGUGAUUUUUAUCCUUGUUCCUCUGCAGGUGAUGCCUGCCCUGAUCCCGGCUGCCUUGAAGAUGAGGACUCUUUGCUUUGUCUCUGCAGCUGCGUGUCAUGUGUUGCCUUUUAUAUACAUAUAUAUUUAUAACUUGGACAUAUCAUAGAGAAGAGGCGAUAUGCACUAUUUUUUUAAUAAUUACUUUAAUAAUUGGACAUGGGCAUGUCUUUCAUUCUGUUAGAUCUUUAAUAUGAGGUUUUGUAUUAAUCUAGAAAGAGUGGAUUUAAAAUUUACUCUUGCUCUGUUUACCCGCAGUGGAUAAGCAG